rnacentral:rRNA from 1 species
UACGUAGGGUGCAAGCGUUGUCCGGAAUUAUUGGGCGUAAAGAGCUCGUAGGCGGUUUGUCGCGUCUGCUGUGAAAACUCAGGGCUUAACCCUGAGCUUGCAGUGGGUACGGGCAGACUAGAGUGCGGUAGGGGAGACUGGAAUUCCUGGUGUAGCGGUGAAAUGCGCAGAUAUCAGGAGGAACACCAGUGGCGAAGGCGGCUCACUGGCCCGGUACUGACGCUGAGGCGCGAAAGCG